AUCAGCUUGUUGGUGGGGUGAUGGCCUACCAAGGCGACGACGGGUAGCCGGCCUGAGAGGGUGUCCGGCCACACUGGGACUGAGAUACGGCCCAGACUCCUACGGGAGGCAGCAGUGGGGAAUAUUGCACAAUGGGCGCAAGCCUGAUGCAGCGACGCCGCGUGAGGGAUGACGGCCUUCGGGUUGUAAACCUCUUUCACUAGGGACGAAGCGCAAGUGACGGUACCUACAGAAGAAGCACCGGCCAACUACGUGCCAGCAGCCGCGGUAAUACGUAGGGUGCGAGCGUUGUCCGGAAUUACUGGGCGUAAAGAGCUCGUAGGUGGUUUGUC
rnacentral:rRNA from 1 species